UUUCGCUGGCGAGUGGCGGACGGGUGUAAUGUCUGGGAAACUGCCUGAUGGAGGGGGAUAACUACUGGAAACGGUAGCUAAUACCGCAUAACGUCACGAGUCCAAAGAGGGGGACCCUCGGGCCUCUUGCCAUCGGAUGUGCCCAGAUGGGAUUAGCUUGUUGGUGGGGUAACGGCUCACCAAGGCGACGAUCCCUAGCUGGUCUGAGAGGAUGACCAGCCACACUGGAACUGAGACACGGUCCGGACUCCUACGGGAGGCAGCAGUGGGGAAUAUUGCACAAUGGGCGCAAGCCUGAUGCAGCCAUGCCGCGUGUAUGAAGAAGGCCUUCGGGUUGUAAAGUACUUUCAGCGGGGAGGAAGGGAGUAAAGUUAAUACCUUUGCUCAUUGACGUUACCCGCAGAAGAAGCACCGGCUAACUCCGUGCCAGCAGCCGCGGUAAUACGGAGGGUGCAAGCGUUAAUCGGAAUUACUGGGCGUAAAGCGCACGCAGGCGGUUUGUUAAGUCAGAUGUGAAAUCCCCGGGCUCAACCUGGGAACUGCAUCUGAUACUGGCAAGCUUGAGUCUCGUAGAGGGGGGUAGAAUUCCAGGUGUAGCGGUGAAAUGCGUAGAGAUCUGGAGGAAUACCGGUGGCGAAGGCGGCCCCCUGGACGAAGACUGACGCUCAGGUGCGAAAGCGUGGGGAGCAAACAGGAUUAGAUACCCUGGUAGUCCACGCCGUAAACGAUGUCGACUUGGAGGUUGUGCCCUUGAGGCGUGGCUUCCGGAGCUAACGCGUUAAGUCGACCGCCUGGGGAGUACGGCCGCAAGGUUAAAACUCAAAUGAAUUGACGGGGGCCCGCACAAGCGGUGGAGCAUGUGGUUUAAUUCGAUGCAACGCGAAGAACCUUACCUGGUCUUGACAUCCACGGAAGUUUUCAGAGAUGAGAAUGUGCCUUCGGGAACCGUGAGACAGGUGCUGCAUGGCUGUCGUCAGCUCGUGUUGUGAAAUGUUGGGUUAAGUCCCGCAACGAGCGCAACCCUUAUCCUUUGUUGCCAGCGGUCCGGCCGGGAACUCAAAGGAGACUGCCAGUGAUAAACUGGAGGAAGGUGGGGAUGACGUCAAGUCAUCAUGGCCCUUACGACCAGGGCUACACACGUGCUACAAUGGCGCAUACAAAGAGAAGCGACCUCGCGAGAGCAAGCGGACCUCAUAAAGUGCGUCGUAGUCCGGAUUGGAGUCUGCAACUCGACUCCAUGAAGUCGGAAUCGCUAGUAAUCGUGGAUCAGAAUGCCACGGUGAAUACGUUCCCGGGCCUUGUACACACCGCCCGUCACACCAUGGGAGUGGGUUGCAAAAGAAGUAGGUAGCUUAACCUUCGGGAGGGCGCUUACCACUUUGUGAUUCAUGACUGGGGUGAAGUCGGAACAAGGUA
rnacentral:rRNA from 1 species